CUUUUUUUUUUUAAUGCUUAGGAGGAUACAGUAACUGGAAACCUCCAGUGCAGUGCAAAGUUUAUAAUUAUCUUAACAAGAUUGGAUGUUUCUUCCUUCAUCCACGUUGUGGUACCAGAAGAGAGGCAGCAGACUUUGCACUCUGUGUUCAUGCUGGUCGGCUAGAUGAGCACCUGCCCAAGCAAAUUCCUUUCACUGUACUUUCUGGAGACAAAAGCUUCUUGGAACUGGAAGCUCAAUUUAAGAUGACUCAGCGGUCAGCUCGCAUUCUAAAUCCCCAUCAUAUCGAAGGAGACAUGAUGUGUGCCUUGCUAAACAGCAUUUCAGAUACCACAAAAGGUAGAAAGUCAACAUCAAAUGCAGUCUUUCCAGCAGUCUAGGCAUCAAUAAAAUAAGUGUGCUCUUGUGCUGAUGAAAA